rnacentral:rRNA from 1 species
UGGCGGACGGGUGAGUAACGCGUGGGUAACCUGCCUCAUACAGGGGGAUAACAGUUAGAAAUGACUGCUAAUACCGCAUAAGACCACAGUACCGCAUGGUACAGGGGUAAAAACUCCGGUGGUAUGAGAUGGACCCGCGUCUGAUUAGGUAGUUGGUGGGGUAACGGCCCACCAAAGCGACGAUCAGUAGCCGACCUGAGAGGGUGACCGGCCACAUUGGGACUGAGACACGGCCCAG